AUUGAACGCUGGCGGCAGGCUUAACACAUGCAAGUCGAGCGGGGGAAGGUGCUUCGGUACUGGACCUAGCGGCGGACGGGUGAGUAAAGCUUAGGAAUCUGCCUAUUAGUGGGGGACAACAUCUCGAAAGGGAUGCUAAUACCGCAUACGACCUACGGGGGAAAGCAGGGGCUCGUAAGACCUUGCGCUAAUAGAUGAGCCUAAGUCAGAUUAGCUAGUUGGUGGGGUAAAGGCCUACCAAGGCGACGAUCUGUAGCGGGUCUGAGAGGAUGAUCCGCCACACUGGGACUGAGACACGGCCCAGACUCCUACGGGAGGCAGCAGUGGGGAAUAUUGGACAAUGGGGGGAACCCUGAUCCAGCCAUGCCGCGUGUGUGAAGAAGGCCUUAUGGUUGUAAAGCACUUUAAGCGAGGAGGAGGCUUACUUGGAUAAUACCUAAGAUAAGUGGACGUUACUCGCAGAAUAAGCACCGGCUAACUUUGUGCCAGCAGCCGCGGUAAUACAGAGGGUGCGAGCGUUAAUCGGAUUUACUGGGCGUAAAGCGUGCGUAGGCGGCUGAUUAAGUCGGAUGUGAAAUCCCCGAGCUCAACUUGGGAAUUGCAUACGAUACUGGUCGGCUAGAGUAUGGGAGAGGAUGGUAGAAUUCCAGGUGUAGCGGUGAAAUGCGUAGAGAUCUGGAGGAAUACCGAUGGCGAAGGCAGCCAUCUGGGCCUAAUACUGACGCUGAGGUACGAAAGCAUGGGGAGCAAACAGGAUUAGAUACCCUGGUAGUCCAUGCCGUAAACGAUGUCUACUAGCCGUUGGGGCCUUUGAGGCUUUAGUGGCGCAGCUAACGCGAUAAGUAGACCGCCUGGGGAGUACGGUCGCAAGACUAAAACUCAAAUGAAUUGACGGGGGCCCGCACAAGCGGUGGAGCAUGUGGUUUAAUUCGAUGCAACGCGAAGAACCUUACCUGGCCUUGACAUAGUGAGAACGAUCUAGAGAUAGAUUGGUGCCUUCGGGAAUUCACAUACAGGUGCUGCAUGGCUGCCGUCAGCUCGUGUCGUGAGAUGUUGGGUUAAGUCCCGCAACGAGCGCAACCCUUUUCCUUACUUGCCAGCAUUUCGGAUGGGAACUUUAAGGAUACUGCCAGUGACAAACUGGAGGAAGGCGGGGACGACGUCAAGUCAUCAUGGCCCUUACGGCCAGGGCUACACACGUGCUACAAUGGUCGGUACAAAGGGUUGCUACCUAGCGAUAGGAUGCUAAUCUCAAAAAGCCGAUCGUAGUCCGGAUUGGAGUCUGCAACUCGACUCCAUGAAGUCGGAAUCGCUAGUAAUCGCGGAUCAGAAUGCCGCGGUGAAUACGUUCCCGGGCCUUGUACUCACCGCCC
rnacentral:rRNA from 1 species